rnacentral:piRNA from 1 species
UGCUGUAGUGUCCAGAACGCCUCAGGUCCG